CCAAGCUAUGGAGACAUUGAAGAAUGGGUCCCAGAAAAGAACCAAGCAAUCAAAGACCACUAAAAGCAUUAUGGUCAUAUAAGCAAAUAGAAUGAAAUCAUCAAGCUUUGAAGAAAUUGAAGAGCAGCUGUCAUAAAAAAACCAAUCAAUCAAAGACCACUAAAAGCAAUAGGGUCAUACAACGAAAUAGAAAACAUUGAUGGAUUCCAGCUUGAACAUCAGUUGUUUGGAUAGAUGCAAACAGAGUAAAGGAAGAUUGUGCAAAUAGAACACAUUGAUGGAUUCCAGCUUGAACAUCAGUUGUUUGGAUAGCUGCAAACAGAGUAAAGGAAGAUUGUG